ensembl:lncRNA
UCCUUAGGAUGCAGAGACCACCAACAUACUCCUUCCUGACUUCAUUGUACCCAACUGGGAUGACAUAAGGGCUUCCCACGUGGCGCUAGUGUUAAAGAACCCUCCUGCCAGUGCAGAGGAGAUAAGAGACGCGGGUUCGAUCUUCUUGGGAAGAUCCCCUGAAAGAGGGCAUGGCCACCCACUCCAGUAUUCUUGCCUGGAGAAUCCCAUGGACAGAGGAGCCUGGCGGACUACGGUCCAUGGGGUCACAGAGUCAGACACGAUGGAAGCAACGCAGCACACAUGCCCACAAGAUGACAAUAAAUAAGGCCGUUCUGUUUCCAGGACACCCAAAGCAUCUCAGGAAGUGUCAGAAGAUUCUCAGAGAGGGUUGUUGAGAGGCGGUGCAGGACCCAGAGGGAGAACAGACGAAAGCUGAAUUUCGCUGACGUGGAGAUGACCUGGGAGCCAAAGAUCUGACUUCGGUUCCUGGUUUUUGCCCCUUCCCGCCUCUUGGGCUUGACUCUUUUCUUUCUCUUGUCCUCUGAGGCCUCAGUUUCCCCGCCUGAGAUGUGCAGCCAGAACAAUUUGCUAAUCCACCGCCCAUGGAUGCGCGGAAAAAAUAUUUUGAAUUCCCACCAUCUUUUUUUCCUUUGAAUGAACUUGUUUAUCCGCUGGUCAGGGUCAGAGAGGGUCGAGGAGGAGGAGCAGCGAGGGGAGUGCCAUCCAGCUAAGCUGACAUGACGCGUUGGAAGGUCAGAGCCCACGGACCCCUGGACAGAGGGCCGUGUUGUUGGGCUUCGGAGUGCCCUUCUGGAAGCCAGUGGCCGGGUCUGAUGCAAGCGUGCCAGGAACUCCUGGGCCUGAAGAUUGGCCUGCGUCAGACAGAGCAGAAGGCAGGCCCGGCUCCUGUCACCAAAAUCGGAUUUUCUUGCCCAUACAUGGCUUGGAGCAGCCUGACUCAGCCCCGUGGAAUGAUGGCAGGGAUUUAUUCCCACUCAUCUGGAGGUAAACUCAUUUUUACCAGGGCCAUUCAACCACUGAAUCAGAGAGGAAGGGAGGAGGGAAGCAAGUUGUUUCUUGCUCAUGCAAAAGGAGGUUCCUGCUGAGUGACCUGCCUUUUCUGAGGUCCUGAGCCAAGUCUCUGAAUCACUUAGAAUCCAUUUCUACAAAGGGUCGUCUUUGUAAAUUUCAUUCCGGAUGUAACCACCUUAACAACGCUUCCCAUUGAACUCGGUUGCCGGGAAGGCAAGGAGCCCGAGACUCGCUCUCUCUUUGUUAAAAAAUAUUAGUAAGCAUUGGAGAGGUGUUAGAGACAGAUCGACAUCGAGUUGAAGCUUUCUCCUUGAUGAAGUUGGAAGAAAAUGAAAGCGGAAGCGAAGUCAACAUGGAAUGAGUUUCCUUCCGAUCGUGGGAAGCCACACAGAACAGCAUGUGGUGGUUCGGAUGGAGAUGCUGG